rnacentral:snRNA from 3 species
AGCUUUGCGCAGUGGCAGUAUUGUAGCCAGUGAGGUUUAUCUGAGGCGCGAUUAUUGCUGAUUGAAAACUUAGAGCUUCUCACAUACAUUUUCUCAUCUUAGAAUUGUGGCAAAACCUCCAGAAGU